GCUGGGCGUGGUGGCGCGCGCCUGUAGUCCCAGCUGCUCAGGAGGCUGAGGUAGGAGACUCACUUGAACCCGGGAGGCAGAGGUUGCAGUGAGCAGAGAUCGCGCCACUGCACUCCAGCCUGGGCGACAGAGUGAGACUCUGUCUCAA
rnacentral:SRP_RNA from 1 species